CUCUCUCUCUCUCUCUCUCUCUCUCUCUCUCUCUCUCUCUCUCGCUUCCUCCGUCACUUUUACUUAUCAUUACCCUAAUUUUGCAAGGGGUAUCAAUUGAAAUUGAAAAGUUUUGGAAUUGGUUGGAAACGCAGCGAGGGAUAACAAGAAGACUAGGUUGGUGCCACGUCACAUUAAUCUUGCGGUGUGGAACGAUGAUGAGCCGAGCAAGUUGCAAAGAGUUCUUUGUGCACACAAUGUGUUCGACGAUUUGACUGUGAGACGGAAACCAAGAAUAUUAAAGUAACUGACAAUGUCAACGAGAAUGUUAAAGUAACUAACUUGGAUUUGGUUCAAUAUUCGCUAAGGAAGAAUGUUGGUGGCUGAGAGAUGGAGAUUCAACAGAGGAAAAGCCAGGUUCAUGCAUUUAGUCAUUUUGAUUGUUUC